UUGACCUACGGGAGGCAGCAGUGAGGAAUAUUGAUCAAUGGCCGGAAGGCUGAACCAGCCAGGCCGCGUGAAGGACGAAGGUGCCAAGCAUUGUAAACUUCUUUUGUCAAGGGACAAAAUCAGGCUCGAGAGCCUGACCGAGGGUACUUGAAGAAAAAGCAUCGGCUAACUCCGUGCCAGCAGCCGCGGUAAUACGGAGGGUGCGAGCGUUAUCCGGAUUUAGUGGGUGUAAAGGG
rnacentral:rRNA from 1 species